rnacentral:rRNA from 1 species
GUCCAGACUCCUACGGGAGGCAGCAGUGGGGAAUAUUGCACAAUGGGGGAAACCCUGAUGCAGCGACGCCGCGUGAGCGAUGAAGUAUUUCGGUAUGUAAAGCUCUAUCAGCAGGGAAGAAAAUGACGGUACCUGACUAAGAAGCCCCGGCUAACUACGUGCCAGCAGCCGCGGUAAUACGUAGGGGGCAAGCGUUAUCCGGAUUUACUGGGUGUAAGGGGAGCGUAGACGGUCCUGCAAGCCAGAUGUGAAAGCCCGGGGCUCAACCCCGGGACUGCAUUUGGAACUGUAAGGCUAGAGUGUCGGAGAGGCAGGCGGAAUUCCUAGUGUAGCGGUGAAAUGCGUAGAUAUUAGGAGGAACACCAGUGGCGAAGGCGGCCUGCUGGACUGCAACUGACGUUGAGGCUCGAAGGCGUGGGGAGCAAACAGGAUUAGAUACCCCAGUAGUC